rnacentral:misc_RNA from 1 species
GAGAUCAUGCGUAAAGGUACAAGCACUCUUGGAACAGAUGUGCCAAGCGAAAGAGAGAUUAAUCGUCUUGCUGCCCGCUCCGAUGAGGAAUUUUGGCUGUUUGAGAAAAUGGACGAGGAGAGAAGACAAAAAGAGCGUUACAGAUCUCGUCUCAUGGAAGAUCAUGAGGUACCAGAUUGGGCUUAUGCUACACCUGACUCUAAGGAAAAGGGAAAAGGAUUCUUAUACGAAAGUGCUAAUAUCACUGGAAAGCGACGUAGAAAGGAAGUGGUUUAUGCCGAUACUUUAAGUGAUGUACAGUGGAUGAAGGCUGUGGAGAACGGAGAUGAUUUCUUUACGCA